GUGUGGAUAGGGGAGAAAUUCCAAUCGAACCCGGAGAUAGCUGGUUCUCCUCGAAAUAGCUUUAGGGCUAGCCUCGUAUUAGUUUAGCGGAGGUAGAGCACUGAAUUCCUUAGGGGGCGUCAAAGCUUACCAAGGGAUAUCAAACUCCGAAUGCCGCAUAAAUGAUGUACGGGAGUCAGACUGCACGAGAUAAGUUGGGCAGUCAAAAGGGAAAGAGCCCAGACCUACAGCUAAGGUCCCAAAGUGUGUGUUAAGUGGAAAAGGAUGUGGGAUUUCGAAGACAACUAGGAUGUUGGCUCAGAAGCAGCCACACAUUCAAAGAGUGCGUAAUAGCUCACUAGUCGAGAGGUCCUGCGCCGAAAAUGUCCGGGGCUAAAACACAACACCGAAGCUUAGGAAUGUAGAAAUACAUUGGUAGAGGAGCAUUCUUAAAGGAAUGAAGCAGUACCGGUAAGGAGCUGUGGACUUUUAAGAAGAGAGAAUGCCGGAAUGAGUAGCGAGAUGGAGGUGGGAAUCCUCCAGGCCGAAUAUCCAAGGUUUCCAGAGUAAAGCUGAUCUGCUCUGGGUAAGUCGGGGCCUAAGGUAAGGCUGAGAAGCGUAGCCGAUGGACAACAGGUUGAGAUUCCUGUACCGCGUAUCAUCAGAACUGUGGGGACACAGAAGGACAGCACAACCCGGGAAUGGAAAGACCGGGGCAAGCAGGGUAGGAGUUAAGCUGGCAAAUCCGCUUAACAAUCCGAAGCUGUGAUGCGGAGCGAAUUUAAGUAGCGAAGUGUGCGAUUCCGGCUGUCAAGAAAAGCCGCUAUUGUGUGAUACGUGCCCGUACCGUAAACCGACACAGGUAGAUGAGGAGAGAAUCCUAAGGCCGGCGGGAGAAGCAUUGUUAAGGAACUCGGCAAAAUGACCCUGUAACUUCGGGAGAAAGGGUGCCUGGGAAACCAGGCCGCAGAGAAUAGGCUCAAGCAACUGUUUAGCAAAAACACAGGUCUAUGCAAAACCGUAAGGUGAGGUAUAUGGGCUGACGCCUGCCCGGUGCUGGAAGGUUAAGAGGAGGGGUUAGCGCAAGCGAAGCUCUGAAUUGAAGCCCCAGUAAACGGCGGCCGUAACUAUAACGGUCCUAAGGUAGCGAAAUUCCUUGUCGGGUAAGUUCC
rnacentral:rRNA from 1 species